UUUUAAAAAUAUUUAUUAAUUAUUUAUUCCCUUUUGUUGCCCUUUUCUAUUGUUGUAGUUAUGAUUGAUGUCAUUGUUGUUGGAUAUGACAGAGAGAAAUAGAGAGAGGAGGAGAAGACAGAGAGGGGGAGAGAAGACUGCAGACCUGCUUCACCACCUGUGAAGUGACUCCCCUGCAGGUGGGGAGCUGGGGACUUGAACUGGGAUCCUUACGCCAGUCCUCGUGCUUUGUGCCACCUACGCUUAACCCACUGCUCUACCGCCUGACUCCCAAAUGCAACUACUGAAUGACUUAAUUAAGAAGUGGUUUACUCUUAUACCUCAAGACAGUUCUUGAAAUCAGAGAAGUACUUCUCCUCUUUUGUACAACCAUGACAGUCCCAGCUGGAUUUAAAGAGUGUAGAGCCAGGUCAGCUGGUCCUGCAGCUCUUCAAAUGGACACGGGGGCAAUUGACAAGCUGGUGGAAAGACAAAGACACUAUUUAAACACUUCACAGGAAAGGCACAAGAUGAAAAAGACAGUCUUCACUAUGAACAUGCUGAGCCCAGGAAAUAAUCAGUUCAAAAGAAGCCGCACUAUCCCACUGUUCAGGCUCUGAGGUUGCAGAGGUCCUCUGGAGGCUGAUGAUCUUUUAACAUGGGUAAGUUUGUUUUUACUUUUUCAUGUUUAAAAGUUACUUGAGAAGUUAAGAAUGUGAAGCUACUGGGUGGGGGAGUAAGGAGUCUCUUAACAUGUUAACACUGUUCAUGGUUGGGGUCCUGUCUUUCUAGCUUUGAAAACUUGAGGGGGAGCAGUUUUAGAGAUGGAAGAAAGCACACCAGGUGGGGUGCCCGCCUUGCUAUGCAUGCGGCGCAGACUCAAGUUGUUGAAAAGAGUUGAAAGCAGCUCUAUAUUCUCUGUAUUGUCUCUAACUGAAUGAAAAACAGCAGCCCAAGAGCAGUGAAAUCACACGUGUGAGUCAUCAGUUCAUCAAAGAAAUUAAAUUUUGGCCAGAGA